GGAGAGCGCGGAGGCAGCCAUGGUGCGGUUCAAGCACAGGUACCUGCUCUGCGAACUGGUGUCUGACGACCCCCGCUGCCGCCUAAGCCUCGAUGACCGAGUUCUGAGCAGCCUCGUACGGGACACGAUCGCCAGGGUGCACGGAACUUUCGGCGCAGCCGCCUGCUCCAUCGGCUUCGCGGGUGCAAGGGCGCUGGGGGAAGAGGGGAACCCGGGAGGAUGGCGGGAUGUGGAGGGGGCAGGCGCCGGAGGAAGAAAGAAAGGGCACGAGUGGCCAAGCCCGUGCACCGUUUUUUGUAAGUUCGAUACCUCAAUGCCUAUACUGGAAUAGUGCUACUUCGAUGCAGAAAAGAAUUCUAUCAGCUUGUGUGGUCAGCUCUUCCCUUCAUCACAUACUUGGAGAACAAAGGACACCGUUACCCAUGCUUUUUCAACACGUUACAUGUGGGAGGUACAAUAAGAACAUGUCAGAAGUUCCUAAUUCGGUACAACAGGAGACAGCUGUUGAUCUUGUUGCAGAACUGCACUGAUGAAGGAGAGCGGGAAGCUAUCCAGAAAUCUGUGACAAGAAGCUGCUUACUAGAGGAGGAGGAGUCAGGUGAGGAGGCUGCAGAAGCAAUGGAGUGAACCUCUGCUCCCCACACAGCUGGCUACACUGCUCAGGCUUCAGGCCCACUUGUUGAACAGAACAAUUUGGGUAGCAACAGCAUCUUCCACAGUUUUCCAAACUGGAUAGCUGCCAACCAGCGCACAUUACCCACUUGGAGUACUCAGUUAAACUAAAGU
rnacentral:sRNA from 1 species